UGCGGAGGGAUCAUUACCGAGUUUACAACUCCCAAACCCAAUGUGAACGUUACCAAACUGUUGCCUCGGCGGGGUCACGCCCCGGGUGCGUAAAAGCCCCGGAACCAGGCGCCCGCCGGAGGAACCAACCAAACUCUUUCUGUAGUCCCCUCGCGGACGUAUUUCUUACAGCUCUGAGCAAAAAUUCAAAAUGAAUCAAAACUUUCAACAACGGAUCUCUUGGUUCUGGCAUCGAUGAAGAACGCAGCGAAAUGCGAUAAGUAAUGUGAAUUGCAGAAUUCAGUGAAUCAUCGAAUCUUUGAACGCACAUUGCGCCCGCCAGUAUUCUGGCGGGCAUGCCUGUCCGAGCGUCAUUUCAACCCUCGAACCCCUCCGGGGGGUCGGCGUUGGGGAUCGGGACCCCUCACCGGGUGCCGGCCCUGAAAUACAGUGGCGGUCUCGCCGCAGCCUCUCCUGCGCAGUAGUUUGCACAACUCGCACCGGGAGCGCGGCGCGUCCACGUCCGUAAAACACCCAACUUCUGAAAUGUUGACCUCGGAUCAGGUAGGAAUACCCGCUGAACUUAAGCAUAUC
rnacentral:rRNA from 1 species